UUUUAAUGAUUAUAAAUAUUAAAUUUGCCCUGCCCAAUGAUUAAGUGUUUAAUGGCCGCAGUAAAUUGACUGUGCAAAGGUAGCAUAAUAAUUUGUCUUUUAAUUGAGGACUGGAAUGAAUGGGUGGACGUAAAAAUUACUGUCUCUGUAUUUAUAAAUUGAAUUUUACUUCUAAGUUAAAAGGCUAGUAUUUAAAUAGAUUUUAUUAAGGGACGAAAAGACCCUGUCAAGUUUUAUAAUAUUUUAAAUUAUUUUCAUUAAUUAUUUUUAAUGUUAUUUUUCUGGGGUGGAAUUAAUAUAAAACUAUUAAAAAUUUUAUAAUUAAGGAAUUUAUUAAUGAUCUUUUAUUAUUACUAAUUAAUAAAUUACUGCAGGGGUAACAGCAUAAUUAUUUUGGUAAGUUCAAAUUUAUAAAAUAGAUUAUGACCUCGAUGUUGGAUUAAAUUUACCUAAAAUAAUGAAGAAGUUUUUAAGGUUAGCCUGUUCGACUAUUAAAAAUUUACA
rnacentral:rRNA from 1 species